UACGUAGGGUGCAAGCGUUAUCCGGAAUUAUUAAGCGUAAAGAGCUCGUAGGCGGUUUGUCGCGUCUGCUGUGAAAACCGGAGGCUCAACCUCCGGCCUGCAGUGGGUACGGGCAAACUAGAGUGCGGUAAGGGAGAUUGGAAUUCCUGGUGUAGCGGUGGAAUGCGCAGAUAUCGGGAGGAACACCGAUGGCGAAAGCAGAUCUCUGGGCAGUUACUGACGCUGAGGAGCGAAAGCAUGGGGAGCGAACAGG
rnacentral:rRNA from 1 species